rnacentral:rRNA from 1 species
UGGGGAAUAUUGCACAAUGGGCGCAAGCCUGAUGCAGCCAUGCCGCGUGUAUGAAGAAGGUCGUCGGGUUGUAAAGUACUUUCAGCGAGGAGGAAGGCGUUGUGGUUAAUAACCGCAACGAUUGACGUUACUCGCAGAAGAAGCACCGGCUAACUCCGUGCCAGCAGCCGCGGUAAUACGGAGGGUGCAAGCGUUAAUCGGAAUUACUGGGCGUAAAGCGCACGCAGGCGGUCUGUCAAGUCGGAUGUGAAAUCCCCGGGCUCAACCUGGGAACUGCAUCCGAAACUGGCAGGCUAGAGUCUUGUAGAGGGGGGUAGAAUUCCAGGUGUAGCGGUGAAAUGCGUAGAGAUCUGGAGGAAUACCGGUGGCGAAGGCGGCCCCCUGGACAAAGACUGACGCUCAGGUGCGAAAGCGUGGGGAGCAAACA